rnacentral:rRNA from 1 species
UACGUAGGGCGCAAGCGUUGUCCGGAAUUAUUGGGCGUAAAGAGCUCGUAGGCGGCUUGUCACGUCGGAUGUGAAAGCCCGGGGCUUAACCCCGGGUCUGCAUUCGAUACGGGCAGGCUAGAGUGUGGUAGGGGAGAUCGGAAUUCCUGGUGUAGCGGUGAAAUGCGCAGAUAUCAGGAGGAACACCGGUGGCGAAGGCGGUGGUCUGGGCCGGCACUGACGCUGAGGAGCGAAAGCGUGGGUAGCAAACAGG